ACUGGUUGAUUCUGCCAGAAGUCAUAUGCUUGUCUCAAAGAUUAAGCCAUGCAUGUGUAAGUUCACACUGAUUAACAGUAAAACUGCGGACGGCUCAUUACAACAGUACUAACCUAUUUGGAUGUUCAACGCUAAAAGGAUAACUGCCGCAAUUCGGGAGCUAAUACUUGCUAAAAGCGUCGCAAGACGUGUUUUUCCUUUCCUUAAAUCGAUCACCUAUGGUGUCUUCUGAGGAGUCGAGGGAACUUAACGGACCGCAUUCUUCGGAGGCGGUCGUCCAUUCGGAGUACUGACUUAUCAAAUGUCGAUGGUUCGGUAUUGGCGAACCAUGUUGGUAACGAGUAACGGGGAAUCAGGGUUCGAUUCCGGAGAGGCAGCCUGAGAAACGGCUGGCACAUCUAAGGAAGGCAGCAGGCGCGUAAAUUACCCAUUGCAGACUCUGCGAGGUAGUGACAAGAAAUAACGAGGCGUUGAUCCUAGUGAUCGUCGCUGUCGGAAUGAGAGCAGUUUAAAAUGCUCAUCGAGUAUCAAUUGAAGGGAAAGUCUGGUGCCAGCAGCCGCGGUAAUUCCAGCUUCAAUAGCGUAUACUUAAGUUGUUGUGGUUGAAGAGCUCGUAGUCGUAACUCUGGAUUAUCAACUUGUAGUGGGCGUCGCUUCGGUGGUGCUCACUUUAGGAGUUUGGUAUCCUCAUUUUGACGUUUGGGUGCGGGUGUCAUUAACUUGACGUCCGUAAACUGCGUCGAUUUUACCUUGAAUAAAUCGGAGUGCUCAAAGCAGGCUCUAAUGCUUGAACGAUUGUGCAUGGGAUAAUGGAACAGGGCGUCUCCGCCCUUACAUUGGUUUAAGUGGAGACGUAAUGAUAGAUAGGAACGGACGGCGUGAUUCGUACGAGAGGGUGAAAGGUGAAAUUUUUAGAUCCUUCUCAGACGAGCGGAUGCGAAGGCGUUUCACGAGAACGUUUUCAUUGAUCAAGAGCGAAAGAAGCAGGUUCGAAAACGAUUAGAUACCGUUGUAGUUGCUUCCGUAAACGAUUUAGACUUGCGAUAGGCAAGGGUUGUUAAUAACCUUGUCUGCAGCUUCCGGGAAACCAAAGUGUUUGUAGCCCAGGGGGAGUAUGGUUGCAAAGCUGAAACUUAAAGAAAUUGACGGAAGGGCACCACCAGGCGUGGAGCCUGCGGCUUAAUUUGAC
rnacentral:rRNA from 1 species